CUGAAAUUGUAAAAAAAAAAAUUUGUAGUGUCUAACUCUCUAGCAAUUAAUUUUAGUCAUUAGGAAAUUCGCAAUUUGUACCGUAAAGUUAUAAUUUUGGCAAAUAAAAGGGUCAAUAAUUGGGUCUAAACGUGUCAAUAACUGGUACACUUACCUUACCGACUACGACUUUCUGCUGCC